CUUGGCCCUGCCUCUUCCUGUGGAACCUGGGAUUCAAAGGGUGGGCCGGAAGUGCUCUAGCCAGGGGACUCUGGCCUUAUGGAGGAUCCCUGUUUCCUCCUUUUUUUUUUUUAAACCCUUUUCACCUAAUAAAACCCUGCUUUUCUCACCCUUUAAACUGUCUAUGAGCCUAAAUUUUCAUGGCCGUGGGACAGACAAGAACCCCAUCUUUGCUAAACCAAGGAAAAGUCCUGCAACAUUUUUGGCACGCAGAGUGGGGGCUGGAGAGGAGAUUCAUUCAUAGCUGCUACACAUUCAUCUCUAUAUAAAACCUACUCUCCCCUCUGAAAAAGCAGCAUAACCAGUCAACGAACAAGUAUAUAGGAUUAGCACAUUAUGAAGAAUAAAGAGAAGCUUUCAGCUCUCCGUCAUGGAUGAUAUUUAUCACAUUUUCCACGACUGGCUCUAAUAACAGUGCAGAGAUAAAAUAGGCUUGAUGCAUCUUUCCUGUACAGAGAAUUUUACAACAGCAACUGUAAGAAAUUCAGGAGAUGAAACACUUCUCCCCUCUUGCAGUUUUUAUUAGUCUUAAAAAUGGGAGGUGGGUGUGUGGGGGAGACUGUUUCUACAAAAGUGGGCUUGAAUUUUCUGUCUGUUAUGCUAAUGUAUUCAUAGAAAAAGCUGGUGCUGAGGGCGGUUCUCCAAUUAAGACAAAUGAGGCACAUUGAAUUUCUCCCCCAGGGCACAGCAGGGGUGCUGGCAAAAUCUACUUUAUUCUUUUCUGUCAGGACUGAACUGGAAACAAAAGCAUGAAAAUUCAACACAUCCACUUACAGAAUAAUAAAGGCUGUUGUUUAAAGCGUGAAGAGUUUUGGCACCCUUCUGGGGCCUUAUGCAAAUCGCUCUUCCUCUCAACUGCUACCACACCAUCGGUCUUGGAAAUUAAAGAUGUACUUGGUCGGUUAACAGCUGAAAGGAGAAGAGCAGCCUGAAACUCAAUUAGAUUUGUAUUAAGCAAAUAAAUCAGGACUGACUGAUAUUGGCUAAACUAAAAUGCAUUAUGGGCUGACAGUAAUUCUAAUUUGAUGGACAAAUAUAUGUAGUGUGUUAUUAACCUAAAUGAAAGAUGAGAAUCCUUUUUUUUUCUUUUUAAAGGAUUUUGUUCUAGUAAACAAUCCGCUCUCCCUCUGAACUUACACAAAACAAUAAACAGAGACUACUGGUAUGGUUCUGUUUACAAUCCAUGCUCAAGAACACAGGAAAUCUAUUUUCUAUUACGUGGUUAGAGUUUGAGACAAAAUUAUUGUGCUGAAAGACAUUUGUUUUUAUCGAUUUAUUUGGUGUAAUGUAACAUCUCAACACAUUAUUUAUUUGGUACACCAAGCACGCUAUUUUUAUUAUGGUGAGUAACACAAAAGCAUAGACCUGGUAUAUGUCUCAUUAUUUAUUCGGAACCCUGUAGUAUAGGAGGCUUUUCCACACCAGGGCACAUACAAAGGGGCCUCAAAUAUGGUUCAAAGUCAUAAAUGAAGAUUUCAAUAAAAUCCUCCAAAGCUUUGAGGAAAACAAAAAACACUCAACAAAUAGCAUAAACGUGUUGGUGUGUGUGGUUGGAUAAGACAUUUCCUUUGAAAGAAGAGUUUUGGGAGUUUCAACUUACUUCCUUGUCUUUGCUGUUUACACCUUUAGAACUUACAGAAAUGGCCAGGUGUGGUGGCUCACACCUGUAAUCACAGCACUUUGAGAGGCUGAGGCAGGAGGAUGGGUUGAACACAGGAGUUUGAGAUCAGUCUGGGCAACAUGGAGAAAUCCUCAUCUUUAAAACAUACUUUUUGACAAACUUAGCCACGCUUGGUGGCACAUGCCUGUGGUCCCAGCCACUCAGGAGGUUGAGGCAGAGGAUUGCUUGAGCUUAGCAGUUCGAGGUCGCAGUCAACUAUGAUCACACCACUGCAAUCUAGCCUGGGCAACAGAAUGAGACCCUGUCUCAAAAACAACAACGAGAAAAACCUUACAGAGAUUUAGGUCAUUACAUUUAACAUCCUGCUAAAUUAAUAAUUAACUAGUAACUUAAUACUUUUGCUUUGGUUGUAACUAUGUUCUAUUUUCGUCACCUUUUCCUUCUGGCUAUCAGAUUAAAGACUCAUUGACUCACUGUUGUCUUUCAAUUAUCUUUCCUUCUACAUUUCCUACCUGGCUCUUCUUGCCAAAUCCUGCUGCGUUUUGCUCUGCAUAGGUGCCAGAAAUUGUCUAUUUCUCCCCUUCAAAACUUGUCCAAACCUUUGCCCCUGUGUGGGCAGCUUCC
rnacentral:lncRNA from 1 species